rnacentral:tRNA from 1 species
UGGUGGGUCGUGGCGGGUUCGAACCGCCGACCAAUUGAUUAAGAGUCAACUGCUCUACCAACUGAGCUAACGACCC